UACGUAGGGUGCGAGCGUUGUCCGGAAUUACUGGGCGUAAAGAGCUCGUAGGUGGUUUGUCGCGUUGUCCGUGAAAACUCACAACUCAAUUGUGGGCGUGCGGGCGAUACGGGCAGACUGGAGUACUGCAGGGGAGACUGGAAUUCCUGGUGUAGCGGUGGAAUGCGCAGAUAUCAGGAGGAACACCAACGGCGAAGGCAGCUCUCUGGGACGUUACUGACGCUGAGACGCGAAAGCGUGGGGAGCAAACAGG
rnacentral:rRNA from 1 species